UCAAACACCCAAAGAAGGAAC
rnacentral:piRNA from 1 species